AGUGAACGCUGGCGGCGUGCCUAACACAUGCAAGUCGAACGGAGUGGCGCUCGGGUGAGUAAUGUAUAGCUAAUCUGCCCUACACUAGAGGACAACAAUUGGAAACGACUGCUUAUACUCCAUAGUGUAGGAUGGGUCUAUAUUGUAUCAGCUAGUUGGUGAGGUAAUGGCUCACUAAGUCUAUGACGCAUAACUGGUCUGAGAGGAUGAUCAGUCACACUGGAACUGAGACACAGUCCAGACUCCUACGGGAAGGAGCAAAAGGGGAUAGUGCUCAAUGGGGGAAACCCUGAAGCAGCAACGCGGCGUGAAGGAUGAUACUUUUCGAAGCGUAAACUCCUUCUGAUAGGGAAGCGGUACCUGACGAAUAAGCACCGGCUAACUCCGUGCCAGCAGCCGCGGUAAUAC
rnacentral:rRNA from 1 species